GCAGCCGCGGUAACACCGGCAGCUCUAGUGGUAGCUGUUUUAUUGGGCCUAAAGCGUUCGUAGCCGGUUAAUAAGUCUCUGGUGAAAUCCUAUAGCUUAACUGUGGGAAUUGCUGGAGAUACUAUUAGACUUGAGAUCGGGAGAGGUCAGAGGUACUCCUGGGGUAGGGGGUGAAAUCCUGUAAUCCUAGGAGGACCACCUGUGGCGAAGGCGUCUGACUAGAACGAAUCUGACGGUGAGGAACGAAAGCUAGGGGCGCGAACCGGAUUAGAUACCCGGGUAGUCCUAGCCGUAAACUAUGCGGACUUGGUGUGAGGGUGGCUUUGAGCCGUCCUGGUGCCGAAGGGAAGCUGUUAAGUCCGCCGCCUGGGAAGUACGGUCGCAAGACUGAACUUAAAGGAAUUGGCGGGGGAGCACCACAACGCGUGGAGCCUGCGGUUUAAUUGGAUUCAACGCCGGAGAUCUCACCAGCGGCGACAGCAGUAUGAUGACCAGGUUGAUGACUUUGUUUGACAAGCUGAGUGGAGGUGCAUGG
rnacentral:rRNA from 1 species